GUGUAUACGGCGUCGUUCUCUUUUAUUUCGAUUAAAACCCUCCUAACAUCUCGAUCAGUUAUCUCCCCCAGCUCUCUCCUCUCUCUGGUCUCGUCCCCCAGCUCUCUCCCCUCUCUGGUCUCGUCUCUCUCAACUCUCUCUCUCUCGCAUCUCUCGGCUCUCUCUCUCUGUAACCCUCUCUCUCUGUAAGCUCUCUCUCAGCCUCUCUCUCCAUGUACACUAUAUGCUUAUUUUGGGGUUUAUCAUAAGGUUUAUACUUUAUACAUGUGUUAUAGUUUAUGCUCUAUAUGUAUAGUUUAUGGUCGUAUAUCUCUCUGUACACUAUGCUUAUUUUAGGUUUUUGAUUUUUUUUUUUGCUCUGAUUUGUUGUAAUUUGCUUUAAUCUGGUUCCUAUAUGUUUAUAUUUGCUUUAAUCUGGCUGAAGUUUAGUUGUUUUAGUUUUAUGAUCUGUUUAUAUGAUUCUUUUUGCUCUGUUUUUGUAUCUGGCCUAAUCUGUCAUGUGCUUGCUCUAUUUGUGUUUGUGUUUUAGUUGUUUUGUAUGUUUGUGUAUGGAUUUGUGGGUGUUUUGUGCACGUAAUUAAUAUGGGUGUUUGGUUUAAAGUAUUUGUGGGUGUUUUGUUAUUGAAUUUAUGUUAUUGUACUAUGGAUUACAAGCUUAUAACUAGCUAGGAUUGCCGUGUGUUUAAAGUAUUUGUGGUUGUGUACUUAAUUUACAACUACGAUCAAUAUAUAAAACUUGAAAGUGUAGUGAAUAAGUCUGAUUGUUAAGUGUUGGUUCAGAAUGAUUCCGUUAAGUCUGUGAUCGUUAUCAUGUCAAAAUACACUAGAGAGAAAAUUACAAUAAAGAGUUUGUAAGUACAAAUGUAAGUUAGAAAUCUCAGACCAAAUCAUAUGCCAAAGAGUUUGUAAGUACAAAUGUAAGUACAUUUGUGUUCUUGUCAAAAAUGUUAUUUCCCUGUAAUAUAAUAUACUGACAAUUUGUAAAAAUUGAAAUAAUAUAGUGAAGUGAGAAAGAGAAAGAGAAAACUCAGGCGUGACUUGAAAAAGUAUGUUUGUGCUUGUCAAUUUUUAACAUGGAGAUUUGGUUUGGUUUAUGUGGAACUUACUUUGUCAUGCAUGACUUGGUGUCUGUAAGUUUGAAAAUAAAAUUCAAACUAUGGAAAAUUACUUGAUAUGUUAAAAAUAUAUUGAUGAUAUUUGUGACUUUCUCUAAAAAGGAUUUCUUUUUAUGGAAACUAAGGAUUUGUAAUAUAAUAUAUAUUUGAUUUUUGUAUAGUCCAGUUGUUUAAUUAAUUUCCAAGAUAAUAUAUUGUGGCUUCCUGCGAUUUCUUUGUAGCAAAUUGUCUUUUGAUGUGUAUCAGGUUUUGCUCGAUUUGGGUUGAACUCUAUGUGUGCAGGUUUUUCCAAUAGUAUGUUAAUGCACCUAUUGCUUCUAGUAUUUUACACUUUAAUAAAUAAUUUUUCAAUUAGUAGUAGAUGCAUAUGCAGCAACUCUGAUAAGCUUACUGUUAAGUCUGAGUUCAAUGAAAUGCUGCCACAUCAGCAUAUGCCAGCUGGCUAAGUUUGUUAGGCUGAUUAGUUAGUUACAAGUUGCACGAUUGUGGGUGUAUAUUGUUGCUUCUUUUCUAUUCUGUAAAAAUAGUUCUCAGUUCUAUUUGCUCAAGUAAUGAAAUCUCUCUGUUUCUCUCCUCUUUUAUGCUGUUAGCUACAUUUUGUAACAACCUCCAACACGCCUUUCUAUAUAUAUCAGUACAAUUGACUAUAUAGUUAAAAGAUGAUCUGCUGAAUUAUAGCUAUUAGCAUAGAUAUUAUGAUCUUCAGGACUAAUGUUGAAACUUGAAACUAAAACCACUCUAGACUUGCAAGGAAUUAAGGAUCAUGCAGUGUUCUGCGAAUUUGUUGGACAGCUGAAAUAUUUGUUAAUAAUUCUUACUAAACUAUUUCACAAAUUCUGAGCCUAUCGAUAACAUCUGAGUAAUUAACAAAUUUAACCUAUAAGAUCGAUGAGGAACGAAGCAUCAAUUAGUUCCCAUCUCCAUUUUUCACCCUCAUUGACAAUUUGCUAGCAAACUUGCUUAAAUGUUCUUUGUCCCUAGACAGAGGUAAAACAAGCCUCUGUCAAGCUCCUAUCUUUAACCUGGAACUAAAACUCACUAGGUUUCCUGUUUUAUUAAUCCAGAUAAAGAAUCCAAUGAAGUUAUCGAUCCUAAAGGCCCAAAGUAGUAGAAUUCAUUUCAAUUUAUAACUAUAUAUAUAGAAUGUAAUGGACUAUGCAAUCAAAUAAUAUUUAAAUCUUAUGAGAGAGCUGAAUACAAACCACAUAUCAAAGCAUGACAAUAUAAAUGACAAUUUUCAUUGAUAACUAUAUUAUCUCUUACUAAAGCAGUGUGCAUGACAUGUAUUCAUGCUCUUCUAAUAGAUGUUGCUUCUUACAGAACAGGGCCUGAUUUUUGAAUAGUUCAUCAGUUUUCCCUUGUAUCUGCUUCAUUUCACUUUUUGUUUAAUUUUCUAAUGCAUUUAUAAUUUAAUAUAUACAUGUGGCCUGGUAGCAAUAAGUUGUUAUGAAUCUGCCGUGGUUGUUUCAUUGACUAACAUAAGUUGACUAACUAUAUAUAUCAUUGUUCAUGUAUAGGCUAUGGCGCCAAAAAAGACAAAGGCAAAAGGAAUGGCUAUUUCUCAAAGGAUGAUAAUGGUGAUUGCGAUGAGGAAGAUUGAAAUGAAGCUACCUAGCUAGAUGCAUUAUUGGUAGGGAUGCUGAUUUUGUUAAAACAUUGCUUUUGUCUUUUGAUUGUUCAGCUGUAACGUAUAUGAUUGUUGGCUUUUGCUAGCUUUUGGCUGAUUGUUUAGCUGUAACAUUUAUGUCGUACAUAAUUUUAUAACUGUCCUUUUGUAAAUAUAUGAAUGCUUGUUGGCUUUUAAAUUAUGUUGUACUGAAUUUUAAUGGAUAUGAUUCUUUAUUUUGGUUUUGAAAUUGGAUAUUGUAUGUGC
rnacentral:lncRNA from 1 species